UGAGAACAUUCAUGGGACAUCCCCAGACACCCAGAGACUCUCACCACUAAGAGAGGCAAGUAAGUGAUGGACAAAUGGAAGAACAAACAGAAGAAUAUAUGAAUUUCAGGAUUCAAGCAGAACUUAGGUCUCUUAUGAAUGGAGGCAAAGCACACUCUGAACAAAACAGAUGCAUGUGUGGACUGCUGAAAUUAAUUUCUUUUUGAUCCAUCCAAGUUUGGUAACGUGACAGAUGUAUGUAUUCACUUUUUGUGUAUGGAUCGGUGUUCUGCCUGCAGGCAUGUAUGUAUAAAACAUGUGUUCUUCCUGCCUGUGAAGAGAGAAACAAUGUGUUCUAUUUACCAAUACUGGAA
rnacentral:sRNA from 1 species